AUGAUGCCAAUGCUGCCACUGCCUUGUGAGAAAACUUGUUCCGGCCUAGUAAUUGAUGCUCGGAUGAGCAACUUUAUCAACUUUUUGUCUAACAACACGGAUCGGCAGCUGAAGGUGGUGUCUAUUCAUGGAUCUGGAUGUCUUGGGAAAACAAUGCUUGCCAAAGUGUUGUACAAUAAAAUUGGGAGGAAAUUCCAUUGUCGGGCUUUCGUCCGGGUGUCCAAAAAGCCUGAUAUGAAGAAGCUUUUCUGUGACAUGCUAUCACAAUUCCAGCGGAAGCAGCCCCAAGCAAGCCAAGACGCUUCCGAUGAAUUUCGUGUUACUGCUGAAAAUAUCAGGAAUUAUCUACAUGGCAAGAGGUAUCUACUUGUUGUUGAUGAUUUAUGGGAUACCUCAGCAUGGGAUGUUAUUAAUCAGCUUUUUCCCAAGUGUAGUCAAGGAAGCAGAAUAAUAACAACUACACAGAUUGAAGACGUUGCAUUAGCAUGUUGCAGCGAUGACCCAGAACAAGUUUUUGAGAUGAAUCCUUUGGAUGAUGAUCACUCAAGGAAGCUAUUCUUUGACAGGCUUUUUGGUUCUGAAACAAGUUUCAAGCCAAAUUGUAGAAAUAUGUGGUGGUUUGCCGCUAGCCACCAUCAGCAUUGCUAG
rnacentral:rRNA from 1 species